UACGUAGGGUCCGAGCGUUGUCCGGAAUUACUGGGCGUAAAGAGCUCGUAGGUGGUUUGUCGCGUUGUUCGUGAAAACUCACGGCUCAACUGUGGGCGUGCGGGCGAUACGGGCAGACUAGAGUACUGCAGGGGAGACUGGAAUUCCUGGUGUAGCGGUGGAAUGCGCAGAUAUCAGGAGGAACACCGGUGGCGAAGGCGGGUCUCUGGGCAGUAACUGACGCUGAGGAGCGAAAGCGUGGGGAGCGAACAGG
rnacentral:rRNA from 1 species